CCAAUAGCGUAUAUUAAAGUUGUUGCAGUUAAAAAGCUCGUAGUUGAAUUUCGGGAUCAACAUGUCGGUCGUGCCUCUGGUACGUACUGGUAUCGUUGAUUUCUACCUUCUGACGAACCAUGAUGUCAUUAAUUUGGUGUCAUGGGGAAUCAGGACUGUUACUUUGAAAAAAUUAGAGUGUUUAAAGCAGGCACACGCUUGAAUACAUUAGCAUGGAAUAAUGAAAUAGGACGUUUGACCCUAUUUUGUUGGUUUCUAGGAUCGACGUAAUGAUUAAUAGGGAUAGUUGGGGGCAUUAGUAUUCAAUUGUCAGAGGUGAAAUUCUUGGAUUUAUUGAAGACUAACUACUGCGAAAGCAUUUGCCAAGGAUGUUUUCAUUAAUCAAGAACGAAAGUUAGGGGAUCGAAGACGAUCAGAUACCGUCGUAGUCUUAACCAUAAACUAUGCCGACUAGGGAUCGGAUGAUGUUAAUUUUUUAAUGACUCAUUCGGCGCCUUACG
rnacentral:rRNA from 1 species